rnacentral:rRNA from 1 species
GACGUACGCUGGCGGCGUGCUUAACACAUGCAAGUCGAACGGAAAGGCCCUGCUUUUGUGGGGUGCUCGAGUGGCGAACGGGUGAGUAACACGUGAGUAACCUGCCCUUGACUUUGGGAUAACUUCAGGAAACUGGGGCUAAUACCGGAUAGGAGCUCCUGCUGCAUGGUGGGGGUUGGAAAGUUUCGGCGGUUGGGGAUGGACUCGCGGCUUAUCAGCUUGUUGGUGGGGUAGUGGCUUACCAAGGCUUUGACGGGUAGCCGGCCUGAGAGGGUGACCGGCCACAUUGGGACUGAGAUACGGCCCAGGCUCCUACGGGAGGCAGCAGUGGGGAAUAUUGCACGAUGGGCGGAAGCCUGAUGCAGCAACGCCGCGUGCGGGAUGACGGCCUUCGGGUUGUAAACCGCUUUCGCCUGUGACGAAGCGUGAGUGACGGUAAUGGGUAAAGAAGCACCGGCUAACUACGUG